UGGGGAAUUUUGGACAAUGGGCGAAAGCCUGAUCCAGCAAUGCCGCGUGUGUGAAGAAGGCCUUCGGGUUGUAAAGCACUUUUGUCCGGAAAGAAAUCCUUGGCUCUAAUACAGUCGGGGGAUGACGGUACCGGAAGAAUAAGCACCGGCUAACUACGUGCCAGCAGCCGCGGUAAUACGUAGGGUGCAAGCGUUAAUCGGAAUUACUGGGCGUAAAGCGUGCGCAGGCGGUUUGCUAAGACCGAUGUGAAAUCCCCGGGCUAACCUGGGAACUGCAUUGGUGACUGGCAGGCUAGAGUAUGGCAGAGGGGGGUAGAAUUCCACGUGUAGCAGUGAAACGCGUANAGAUGUGGAGGAAUACCGAUGGCGAAGGCAGCCCCCGUGGGCCAAUACUGACGCUCAUGCACGAAAGCGUGGGGAGCAAACAGGAUUCAGAUACCCUGGUAGUCCACGCCCUAAACGAUGUCAACUAGUUGUUGGGGAUUCAUUUCCUUAGUAACGUAGCUAACGCGUGAAGUUGACCGCCU
rnacentral:rRNA from 1 species